rnacentral:rRNA from 1 species
AGAACACGAAGUGGUUGAUGCCAUGCUUCCAAGAAAAGCUUCUAAGCUUCAGGUAACCAGGAACCGUACCCCAAACCGACACAGGUGGUUGGGUAGAGAAUACCAAGGCGCUUGAGAGAACUCGGGUGAAGGAACUAGGCAAAAUGGCACCGUAACUUCGGGAGAAGGUGCGCCGGUGAGGGUGAAGCAUUUACUGCGUAAGCCCAUGCCGGUCGAAGAUACCAGGCCGCUGCGACUGUUUAUUAAAAACACAGCACUCUGCAAACACGAAAGUGGACGUAUAGGGUGUGACGCCUGCCCGGUGCCGGAAGGUUAAUUGAUGGGGUUAGCUAACGCGAAGCUCUUGAUCGAAGCCCCGGUAAACGGCGGCCGUAACGAUAACGGUCCUAAGGUAGCGAAAUUCCUUGUCGGGUAAGUUCCGACCUGCACGAAUGGCGUAACGAUGGCGGCGCUGUCUCCACCCGAGACUCAGUGAAAUUGAAAUCGCUGUGAAGAUGCAGUGUAUCCGCGGCUAGACGGAAAGACCCCGUGAACCUUUACUAUAGCUUUGCACUGGACUUUGAAUUUGCUUGUGUAGGAUAGGUGGGAGGCUUUGAAGCGUGGACGCCAGUUCGCGUGGAGCCAACCUUGAAAUACCACCCUGGCAACUUUGAGGUUCUAACUCAGGUCCGUUAUCCGGAUCGAGGACAGUGUAUGGUGGGUAGUUUGACUGGGGCGGUCUCCUCCUAAAGAGUAACGGAGGAGUACGAAGGUGCGCUCAGACCGGUCGGAAAUCGGUCGUAGAGUAUAAAGGCAAAAGCGCGCUUGACUGCGAGACAGACACGUCGAGCAGGUACGAAAGUAGGUCUUAGUGAUCCGGUGGUUCUGUAUGGAAGGGCCAUCGCUCAACGGAUAAAAGGUACUCCGGGGAUAACAGGCUGAUACCGCCCAAGAGUUCAUAUCGACGGCGGUGUUUGGCACCUCGAUGUCGGCUCAUCACAUCCUGGGGCUGAAGCCGGUCCCAAGGGUAUGGCUGUUCGCCAUUUAAAGUGGUACGCGAGCUGGGUUUAGAACGUCGUGAGACAGUUCGGUCCCUAUCUGCCGUGGACGUUUGAGAUUUGAGAGGGGCUGCUCCUAGUACGAGAGGACCGGAGUGGACGAACCUCUGGUGAUCCGGUUGUCACGCCAGUGGCAUUGCCGGGUAGCUAUGUUCGGAAUAGAUAACCGCUGAAAGCAUCUAAGCGGGAAACUAGCCUCAAGAUGAGAUCUCACUGGGACCUUGAGUCCCCUGAAGGGCCGUCGAAGACUACGACGUUGAUAGGUUGGGUGUGUAAGCGCUGUGAGGCGUUGAGCUAACCAAUACUAAUUGCCCGUGAGGCUUGACCG